CCCUUAGAUGUUCUGGGCCGCACGCGCGCUACACUGAUGCAUUCAACGAGCCUAUCCUUGACCGACAGGUCCGGGUAAUCUUUGAAUCUGCAUCGUGACGGGGAUAGAUUAUUGCAAUUAUUAAUCUUCAACGAGGAAUGCCUAGUAGGCGCAAGUCAUCAGCUUGCGUCGAUUACGUCCCUGCCCUUUGUACACACCGCCCGUCGCUCCUACCGAUGAGCGUUUUGGCGAAGACGGUUUGAGUAGCUGCGUAAUUUCGUGUUGUUGACUCCGGCAGUUUGAGCCUUCACGUUUAGAGGAAGGAGAAGUCGUAACA
rnacentral:rRNA from 1 species